rnacentral:rRNA from 1 species
UAGGGAAUUUUUCACAAUGGGCGCAAGCCUUAUGAAGCAAUGCCGCGUGAACGAUGAAGGUCUUAUAGAUUGUAAAGUUCUUUUAUAUGGGAAGAAACGCUAAAAUAGGAAAUGAUUUUAGUUUGACUGUACCAUUUGAAUAAGUAUCGGCUAACUAUGUGCCAGCAGCCGCGGUAAUACAUAGGAUGCAAGCGUUAUCCGGAUUUACUGGGCGUAAAACGAGCGCAGGCGGGUUUGUAAGUUUGGUAUUAAAUCUAGAUGCUUAACGUCUAGCUGUAUCAAAAACUGUAAACCUAGAGUGUAGUAGGGAGUUGGGGAACUCCAUGUGGAGCGGUAAAAUGCGUAGAUAUAUGGAAGAACACCGGUGGCGAAGGCGCCAACUUGGACUAUCACUGACGCUUAGGCUCGAAAGUGUGGGGAGCAAAUAGG